rnacentral:rRNA from 1 species
CCUACGGGAGGCAGCAGUGGGGAAUAUUGGACAAUGGGGGGAACCCUGAUCCAGCCAUGCCGCGUGUGUGAAGAAGGCCCUCGGGUUGUAAAGCACUUUCAGUGAGGAAGAACGCCUGGUGGUUAAUACCCAUCAGGAAAGACAUCACUCACAGAAGAAGCACCGGCUAACUCCGUGCCAGCAGCCGCGGUAAUACGGAGGGUGCGAGCGUUAAUCGGAAUUACUGGGCGUAAAGCGCGCGUAGGUGGCUUGAUAAGCCGGUUGUGAAAGCCCCGGGCUCAACCUGGGAACGGCAUCCGGAACUGUCAAGCUAGAGUGCAGGAGAGGAAGGUAGAAUUCCCGGUGUAGCGGUGAAAUGCGUAGAGCUCGGGAGGAAUACCAGUGGCGAAGGCGGCCUUCUGGACUGACACUGACACUGAGGUGCGAAAGCGUGGGUAGCAAACAGGAUUAGAUACCCCUGUAGUC